UACGGGGGGGGCAAGCGUUGUUCGGAAUUACUGGGCGUAAAGGGCGUGUAGGUGGCCAACUAAGUCCGACGUGAAAUCCCCAGGCUUAACCUGGGAACUGCGUCGGAUACUGGAUGGCUUGAAUUCGGGAGAGGGAUGCAGAAUUCCAGGUGUAGCGGUGAAAUGCGUAGAUAUCUGGAGGAAUACCGGUGGCGAAGGCGGCAUCCUGGACCGACAUUGACGCUGAGGAGCGAAAGCUAGGGGAGCAAACGGG
rnacentral:rRNA from 1 species